UACGUAGGUGACCAGCGUUGUCCGGAUUUACUGGGCGUAAAGAGCGCGCAGGCGGUCGUUCAAGUCGAGUGUGAAAGCCCCCGGCUCAACUGGGGAGGGUCACUCGAUACUGAUCGACUUGAAGGCAGGAGAGGGAAGUGGAAUUCCUGGUGUAGCGGUGAAAUGCGCAGAUAUCAGGAAGAACACCAAUGGCGAAGGCAGCUCUCUGGGACGGUACUGACGCUGAGACGCGAAAGCGUGGGGAGCGAACAGG
rnacentral:rRNA from 1 species